AGGGCGGCGUACGGCUCAGUAACGUGUGGUCAAUCUACCCUCAGGACGGAGAUAACCUCGGGAAACUGAGGCUAAUAUCCGAUAGAUAAUGGAUCCUGGAAUGGUUCAUUAUUCAAACGGCACAUUGCUCAUGCGCAGUGUGUCGCCUGAGGAUGAGACUGCACCCUAUCAGGUAGUUGGUGGGGUAAUGGCCCACCAAGCCUAUAACGGGUACGGGCCCUGAGAGGGGGAGCCCGGAGAUGGGCACUGAGACAAGGGCCCAGGCCCUACGGGGCGCAGCAGGCGCGAAACCUCUGCAAUGCGCGAAAGCGCGACAGGGCCACCCCGAGUGCUAGCCGCUGAGGUUAGCUUUUCCUUAGUGUAGUAAGCUAAGGGAAUAAGCGGGGGGCAAGCCUGGUGUCAGCCGCCGCGGUAAUACCAGCUCCGCGAGUGGUCGGGACGAUUAUUGGGCCUAAAGCGUCCGUAGCCGGCCUAUCAAGUCUCUGGUUAAACCUCAAGGCUCAACCUUGAGAUCGCUGGAGAUACUGUUAGGCUAGGGGGCGGGAGAGGUUGAGGGUACUUCGCGGGUAGGGGCGAAAUCCUAUAAUCCGCGAAGGACCA
rnacentral:rRNA from 1 species